rnacentral:misc_RNA from 1 species
GAUGAAGAACGUAGCGAAAUGCGAUAAGUAAUGUGAAUUGCAGAAUUCAGUGAAUCAUCGAAUCUUUGAACGCACAUUGCGCCCCCUGGUAUUCCGGGGGGCAUGCCUGUUCGAGCGUCAUUUCACCACUCAAGCCUCGCCUGGUAUUGGGCAACGCGGUCCGCCGCGUGCCUCAAAUCGACCGGCUGGGUCUUCUGUCCCCUAAGCGUUGUGGAAACUAUUCGCUAAAGGGUGUACGGGAGGCUACGCCGUAAAACAACCCCAUUUCUAAGGUUGACCUCGGAUCAGGUAGGGAUACCCGCUGAACUUAAGCAUAUCAAUAAGCGGAGGA